rnacentral:siRNA from 1 species
UGGGCUGCUUAUUUAAACUGGGCC